AGCGAACGCUGGCGGCAGGCCUAACACAUGCAAGUCGAACGCGUGUAGCAAUACACGAGUGGCAGACGGGUGAGUAACACGUGGGAACGUGCCCUUCGGUUCGGAAUAACUCAGGGAAACUUGAGCUAAUACCGGAUACGCCUUACGGGAAAGAUUUAUCGCCGAUGAUCGGCCCGCGUCUGAUUAGCUAGUUGGUGAGGUAACGGCUCACCAAGGCGACGAUCAGUAGCUGGUCUGAGAGGAUGAUCAGCCACACUGGGACUGAGACACGGCCCAGACUCCUACGGGAGGCAGCAGUGGGGAAUAAUUGGACAAAUAGGGGGAAACCCGUCGAUCCAGCCAUGCCGCGUGAGUGAUGAAGG
rnacentral:rRNA from 1 species